CAAACAUUGACUGAGCUUAAACUCUGCAGGGUCCUGAGCUAAACUUGGGGACAUCAGCUCAGGAAAUCAUCUCAGGAUCUGAGGGCCAUGCUGGAUAAGGAGCUGGCUGCCUCUGUGAACAUUCUACUGAAGGCAUCUUCACUUUCAUGAAGACAAAGACUUCAUGCUGUCCAUCUACAUCAGGUAAGGUUGGCAUCUCUUCUCACUCCUUUACCAUAGGACCAGCCAAGUGACUAAGGGAAUGACCUUGAAAAAAAAGCUGGAGACCUGGAGCCCAGCCAGCCACCUUCUGUGUGACUCUGGGCAAGUCCCUGUCCCUCUCUGACUCUCAGAUUCUCCAUCUGUAUCAUGGGGGUCUAGAAUAAGAUAGUUUAAACCAAUGGCUUUCAAAAUGUUGGUCUCAGAACCCUUUUACACUUUUAAAAAUUGAGACCCAAAAGGGCUUUGUUUAUGGGUUAUAUAAAAGUUUACUGUUUUAGAAACUAUAACAGAAUAUAAAAAAUAUUUUUAUUUCAUUUAAAAUGAUAACCAUUACAUAUUAAUAUAAAUAAUGCAUUUUUAAGGAAAGUAAUAUUUCCUAAAGACAAAAAAAAUAAGAAGAAUGACAUUUUACAUUUUAGCAGAUUCUGACUUAAUAAGACAGCUGGAUCUCCUCUGAAACAUCUUUAAGUUCUGGGACACUUUUAAGCUCAUGGUGAUAAAUUCAGGUCUUUCAAAAUUCAGAGUUUUGCUUGAAAACAUCAAUUUUAUCAUUGGCCAUAAAUGAUGUAAAUUGUCUUUCAGUGGUGGGCUUAAUUUAUUCAUAUUUGAGGAAGUGUCUACCUAAUACUCAAGCCUGAAGUAACUAUAAUUUGUAGAAAUGACAAAUUAUGGUUACUCAGGCUUGAAAGUAAAAUUGGUGUUCCACCAAAAAACAAGAAAAGUUUAGCUUGUACUAAAACAAUUAGACACGCAGUGAACUUAGGCAUGUAGUAGAAGUGCUCUAUGUGUACUUCCUAGAAGUGUUUUGUCACACAGAAUAUUGAAAAGGCAUGAACACAAGGAUUGAAAUUUAAUGAAAGUAGUAAUUUUGCCCACUUUAUCAGAGAUGCUAAGUGAAACUGACUUUUUAGAAAUCCAACUGUGUGGCAGUGAAGAAUAUAAUGACAACGAGUACAGGUUAUUGUCACUGUCUCAACUCAUGCUAAAGUGCCAGCAGUUUUACCUAUUUUUUUUCUUUUCUUUUCUUUUUUUUUUUGAGACAGAGUCUCACUCUGUUGCCC